UCAGCCAAUCAGUGGCCAGCAUUAAUAGACAGAUCUAGACUUAUGAGUAAGUAACAAGAAACGUCUGCCAACAAUCACAUAACUUACCUACAACUUAUGUCCAGCAUGUGCGGAACAUAUGAGUCACAUGCUGGCAUGCGUUAAAAUUUUUAGCAUGCCCAAAAUAUUUUGAGGAACUCAGCUUAUCAGGUCAAACAUUAACAGCUCCAAUGUGAUUUAGCU